rnacentral:rRNA from 1 species
ACGUAGGGCGCAAGCGUUGUCCGGAAUUAUUGGGCGUAAAGAGCUCGUAGGCGGUUUGUCGCGUCUGCUGUGAAAACCUCAGGCUCAACCUGGGGCUUGCAGUGGGUACGGGCAGACUAGAGUGCGGUAGGGGUGACUGGAAUUCCUGGUGUAGCGGUGGAAUGCGCAGAUAUCAGGAGGAACACCGAUGGCGAAGGCAGGUCACUGGGCCGCAACUGACGCUGAAACACGAAAGCGUGGGUAGCGAAUGGGA